rnacentral:ncRNA from 1 species
CCCUGUUGAGCUUGAUUCUAGUCUGACUGUGUGAAGAGACAUGAGAGGUGUAGCAUAAGUGGGAGGCCUUGAACCCUCGUGGUUGUGUCGUGCCGACAGUGAAAUACCACCACUUUCAUCGUAUCUUUACUUACUCGGUGAAACGAUAUAUUUUGUGUUUUGAAUUUUGUAUUUCAACAAGAAAUAAGCUUUUUAGCGGUUCUGACCAGUAGUAAGCCCAGGACCAAAGACGUCACAUAUCUCGCGCCUUUGGCACCGCGGGUCACCCCCGUAGGUGGAGGAGGUUUCCGGGUCGUCCGGUUAAAAUAUGACGCUCUAAUAUUUAGUUACUCUCUCCGUGCCCGCUGGCUUGCAAGAAACCCGGAGGGACGUGGAAACCGCAAAAAAUGUAGACGCUUAAAUAUGAUUGCAGGGCCCCUUUAAGCGCCUAACAGGUUCUCUUACCGUUAUGUCUCUAAUGAAAGAUUACAACGCAUUAGGUCCGACAAAUUGCAUAAAAAAAAGAAAAGAAGAAUCUUUCGGAUUAUAUCAUAUUAAAGCAUUAUUUCCAUAUUUGCCUUUGGAAAGCGAGCAAGUUUUUACAUUGUCACAGCAGCCGACACCUGUGUAGUGAA